AAAGGUACAUAAGGGCACUGAUAGUGGAUGCCUUGACAAUCAAUACCGAAGAAGGACGUAGGACUCUGCGAUAAGCCUCGGGGAUCUGAGAACGAGAGUUGAUCCGGGGAUUUCCGAAUGGGGAAACCUAGCACAAGUCAUGUUGUGUUGCAUUUACCUGAACACAUAGGGUAAAUAGACGGGAACCAGCCGAACUGAAUCAUCUUAGUAGGUUGAGGAAAAGAGAAUAACCAAUGAUUCCGAAAGUAGUGGCGAGCGAAAUUGGAACAGCCCAAACCUUAACAUAACCAUACGGUUUAACGGCCAGAGUUAUGAAAGGGGUUGCGAAAUAAGAUAAUUUAUAUGUUGAACAUUUCUAUAUGGAAUGUUUAGCAUAUAAACCAACAGCGUUAACUGAGUGGAUAAUGAUACAAUUCCAUCAAAUCGUAGCGGAAAUACCUGGAAUGGUAUGCCAAAGAAGGUGAAAGCCCUGUAUGCGAAACGGUUUGAGGCAUUAUAUAUCUUUUUUCAAUUAGGACGGGGCACGAGAAACCCUGUUUGAAUCUGGCAGGACCACCUGCCAAGGCUAAAUAUAUUGAUUGAUCGAUAGCGAACUAGUACAGUGAUGGAAAGGUGAAAAGAACCCCGGGAGGGGAGUGAAAUAGAUCCUGAAACUCAGUGCCUACAAGGUGUCGGAGCAGCGCUUGCGCUGUGACGGCGUGCUUUUUGUAGAACGAUCCAGCGAGUUAAUGUUGUCGGCGAGGCUAAGUCAGUUGAUGGAGCCACAGUGAAAGCGAGCCUGAAUAGGGCGACAAGUCGGCAGUAUUAGACCCGAAACCGGGUGACCUAACCAUGAGCAGGUUGAAGCUGCGGUAACACGCAGUGGAGGACCGAACCAGGGUACGCAGUAAAGUGCUUGGAUGACUUGUGGUUAGCGGUGAAAUGCCAAUCGAACUCGGAGAUAGCUGGUUCUCCUCGAAAUAGCUUUAGGGCUAGCGUUGUGUAGUAGCACAUGGGGGUAGAGCUCUGAAAGGGUUUGGGGCCGGCAACGGUACCCACCCCUAUCAAACUACGAAUACCAUGUGUGUAAUCACGGCAGUCAGAACGGCGGGGCUAAGCUCGUCGCUCAAAAGGGAAACAGCCCAGAUCAUCGUCUAAGGUCCCUAAUUAACACUAAGUGGGAAACAAGGUGAAGUUUCUUAAACAGCUAGGAUGUUGGCUUAGAAGCAGCCAUUCAUUUAAAGAGUGCGUAACAGCUCACUAGUCAAGAGAUUUUGCGUGGAAAAUGUAACGGGGCUAAGUGUUAAACCGAAGACAUGGGAUUCUACUUUAGUAGGAUCGGUAGAGGAGCGUUGAUAUUGCGGUGAAGUCAGAUUGUAAAGUCUGGUGGAGCGUUAUCAAGUGAGAAUGCUGGAAUCAGUAACCAUAAGACAGGUGAGAAUCCUGUCGGUCGUAAGAGCAAGGUUUCCAGGGCUACAGUAAUUGUCCCUGGGUUAGUCGGUCCUAAGCCGAGGCGCAUCAGCGUAGGCGAUGGACAACAGGUUAAUAUUCCUGUACAGGUAGUAGUUGUUAACAGUUCACGGCGAAUGACUAGAGCGGAUUAAUGGUUUAUCCGUCCAAGGUUUUAGGGAACUAAAAUUGAGUGAAAGGUAUUCUUCGGAAUAUCGAUUCUAGGUGAAGCGCUGGCUAGAAAAGCUGGUUAACUUAUGCUGCUGCCUACCGUACCGCAAACCAACACAGGUGCUCGGGUCGAGUAGACCAAGACCUACGAGAGAACCUUCGCUAAGGAACUCGGCAAAAAAGCGUCCGUAACUUCGGAAUAAGGACUGCCCCAUCAUUAAGAUGAGGAUUUGCCAAAGAGUUUUCUCGGCGGAAACGAGAAAAUGGUCAAUUUUGUACCAAAUAAAUAUCGAUUUCUUCUUGUCGAGACACACUUAACUCUUUGAGCAGCUCAAUCGUCAUUUUGAUGAUGGGGCCGCAGCUAAAGAGCCCACGGAACUGUUUACCAAAAACAUAGGUCUCUGCUAACGCGAAAGCGGAUGUAUAGGGGCUGACUCCUGCCCAGUGUCGGAAGGUUAAGGGGAGAACUUCACGGUUCGAACUGAAGCCCCGAUGAACGGCGGCGAUAACUAUGAUCGUCCUAAGGUAGCGAAAUUCCUUGUCUGGUAAGUUCAGACCUGCACGAAUGGAGUAAUCAUGUGGGCACUGUCUCGGCGAAGGCCUCGGUGAACGUGCAUUGGCGGUAAAGAUGCCGUCUGAUCAUGCCAGGACGAGAAGACCCCAUGGAGCUUUACUACAACUUUGCAUUGAUUAUUGGGACAUUUUGUGUAGCAUAGGUGGAAGACUUUGAAGCAGAUACGCUAGUAUUUGUGGAGUCGUAGGUGAAAUACCACCCUGAGUGUUUUAGUAAUCUCACGCUUGACAUUAACUGCCAAGCGGACCGUGCAUGGCGGGUAGUUUAACUGGGGCGGUUGCCUCCUAAAGAGUAGCGGAGGCGUUCAAAGGUUGGCUAACUACGGAUGGAAAUCGUAGUGAUAGUGUAUGCGCAAAAGCCAGCUUGACUGUGAGGGCCACAACCCAAUCAGACACGAAAGUGGGAGCAAAUGACCCGCUGUAUAGAACUUCGGUUCAAUUUACGUGGGAAAGACAGCGCACACGGAUAAAAGUUACCCUGGGGAUAACAGGCUGAUCGCGCCCAAUAGUUCACAUAGACGGCGCGGUUUGGCACCUCGAUGUCGGCUCAUCACAUCCUGGAGGGGGAGCACCUUCCAAGGGUCCGGCUGUUCGCCGGUUAAAGUGGUACGCGAGCUGGGUUCAGAACGUCGUGAGACAGUUCGGUUUAUAUCCGGCAUGAUCGUUAGGAAUUUUGAGGAGAUUUGCCUCUAGUACGAGAGGACCGAGGUGAACGAACCUCUAGUGUAUCGGUUGUGGCCACCUGCUGCAUUGCCGAGUAGCUAUGUUCGGAAGAGAUAAGCGCUGAAAGCAUAUUAAGCGCGAAGCCCACUCCAAGAUAAGAAUUCCCUAUGGAGACUCCAGAGAGAUGAUCUGGUUGAUAGGCGCAAGGUGGAAGCACGGCAACGUGUGGAGCCGAAGCGUACUAAUAGGUCCAUUGCCUUUUUAU
rnacentral:rRNA from 1 species